AGUUGUGGAUGCCCCAUCCCUGGCAGUGUUCAACUCAAACCAGUCUGUGGGUCUAUGAGAGCCUUUUGCUACUGUGCAUCUGUCACAGCUGCCUGACUGGGGACCACGUAGUCCUGGACAGGAAAGCAUGGUAGGAGAAGCAAGCCAUCAGCAGAAGCCAAGAGGCUGCUCGGGUUUAGGGUUUCGUAUUGUUAUGGGGUUUCUUCUUAUUAUAAUGCCAUCAUCUCCAAUUGGUGUGGCAGAUGUUCCAUGAAGAUAAAUUAAGCAUGGAUUCUCAACAAAGAGCCUUUAUACAGCCACAGGUUGCAUCAGCUGUGUGGUGCCUGAAAAUGGAGCGGGCUGGUAAGCAGCUUCCAGAGCUGAUGGCGUGACUCACUGUGUUUGUGCAUCGUCAAUAUUCGAGCAGACAGGAAUCAUCAUGGGAAGCUGAUUGCAGAGAGUGAGUCAAACGAGGGCCUCCUUCCCCUGAGCUAAACACGCAGGGACAGUUCAAAACCUGUCUCGGCAAGAAGUUACUCUACUACAGGAAUUUCUGUUUUGAGUGAAAGCAGCACUUAUUUAAUUUAGGGGAGGGAUGAUUACUUAAAGCUGUGUAUAAAAACAUAUUUGAUCCUCUGACUAACUUCACAGUUAUUCUAAUGUUGUCUUGCAAAACUUAAGUCCUUUCUAUCAUCAUUUUAAAGCUAGUUUAAUAUUUUUGGAUUGCAAGAAUGGAUACGGAGGACUAAAUACACUAUCAGGUUCUGCCUGCAUAGCUAGCUGGCAGGGCAUGUUAUGACAGACAGAGGCCCUGUCUCCACAUGAAACCUCUUGGAGUAAAGUGGUAGAUUUAGAAAAACAUAUCCGUAUUCCAGCUCUGUACCAUGAAAACUCUAGAAUUUGCAGCACCUGAUACCUACACAUUGAAAAUCCGUAUCAUUUAAUAUGCAUGCAGCCUAGGUACCAUGAAACUUCCCCAAGCAUGAGGAUAGUUGUGAGCCUGAACAGCUCUUAAGCGGGGAAGCAUAUUGGCGACAGAGAGAGAGAUUUCAGGGAGGAUAUCAAGCUAAGUAAAGACAGGAAGCCAAAUCCUAAAAGGCAUUAUUGAAUAAAGGAAGAUAGGCAUUUUCAGUGAGCUGAAUACCUUACUCUUGUCGGGGGUUGACAUAGAGGGCAAAUCUCCACAUGGAACAGGAGGAAAAGGGGAAGAAACUCCACAUGUUGAAACUCCUGUCCACGUAUAGAGCAUGUAAGUGUAAUUUGUAAGGGAGCAGUAACUGUGAACUUAACUGAACUUUCCUUUAUUUGGGGCCAAGGAAGACAUUCAGGAUUUGCUACAUUUUUUUUCCUGAAUAAAUCGCAUGACGGGCAUAUUCAGAAUUUCAGUAAUGUUUUUAUUCAUAAAAUUGACCUUGAUUAGCACUUUCUGGGGUCCUUGUUCAGCUCCACAUUGCAAAGAAACAAUUAUGUUUCACAGUUUGUUGGCACUGGGCAUGCUGUCUGGGUCUGAUCCAGAAGUCCAUCAGUCUGUCCUAUCUACCAACAUUUCAUACACGCUUUCCCCAAACUGUGGCCUCCUGAGCACUUAGAGGCUGCAGAGCCUUUGUAUAUUGCUCACAAAAGGAUUUCUUAAUAAUGGCUGUCUCCAGCAGAUAAAGGUGCACAAGUUGUGGGGUGAGUUCUGGUCUGCAUGCCGGAGCUAGCAGCUAAGCAGACAUGGGGGAGACCUGCAGCUCUACAUUCCAGACUUCAGGUGCUCCCCUUACUGCCCUGCCGCAUCCCCUCAGAAAUCCAAGCUAAGCUGGCCUUUCUUUAUCAAAUUGUGGUUGUUAAGAUCCAGAUUCCAGUUUCUCCUAGGCUGUAGAGCAGAUACCACAUUUGGUUCUUUCAGAAACACAUCCUCAAGACUGGGGUGAACACGAGUGGCAACGCCCAUCUUAACAUGAAGAUCUAAAACCCCAUGAAGGUCCCAGUUCUGCAGAUCUUCUGGAUGCUAGAAGAAAACCCUAUCCUGCCUUCAUGGCCUCUUUGUGAAAGAAAAGGAAGGAAUACAGAAACUACAGGAGGAAAAAGCCCACUGCUCCCUGCACUAAAGCACUUCACAUGCCAGCCAGCUUUCCAAAAUGGGAAAGUCUGUAGCUCCUGCAGUCUUACACAUACGAGUAUCUUAAAUGAUGCAGCUGAGACAGACCCCGUAACAUCACAAGGUACAGAUGCUUUAAAACAGUUGUAUUAAAAAAAAAAAUAAUAAAAAAAAUCUGCUUUUAUUUUCACCCUGUUUUGAACAUUUUCAGUCCUGCCAUCAUGUUUUUCAGUUUUCUGGCUUACUGAGCCAUAAACUUGUUAUAAUAAGCAAAAUGUGAAUUUCUCAAGUAAUCCUCAUCACCUGAACCAAGGAACUGCGGUUGCGAGGGAACUAUCAAAUAUCACAAGGCUUGCGAUGAAAUGAGAGUUGGCUACGCUCUGACAACCCCUGUCAGUGAGACAACAACAGCUGUUCUGAACAAACACCACAGCCAGAAAAGAACAAAUUAAUGGUCAGCCAAGGCGAAGUGAAAUGGAGAACAAACAAAGGAUAAACUUGACCAAGCUAUGACCAACCAAGGGUAAACUAAACCAACUUUCCCAUAUGUUUAAUAGGAAUAAUAGCACUUAUUUAUGGAGGAGGGUUAUUUUCAAUGAUCAAUUCAUUAGUAUUUGUGAAAUGCUGUGGAGUCCUUCAUGGAAUAUGCAAAAUAAUGCAAAAUGUGAGCUAAUAUAGCAUAUGUGCUGCUCCAAGGCAACCACAGCUUAUCCAAGGGAGAGAGGAAGUAUAGGUGAAGGGGCAAGACAGGGAAAAACAAACACAGGGCAAAUGGCAAUAAGAUGUGUUGCAGGGGAAGAAGAGGAAAUGAAAUCAUAGGGGACAUAUAAGGAGGAAAUGAGGCCAUAUGGGAUAAAGAGGUGAUGCCUAGGUUACUGCAGUAUAGCGAUGCAGGGCACAAAUCUGUAUGAAACUGAGCUUUAUUACUUCUGCUGCUUAUUCAGUAACCUGUUGUCUGUUGUCUGUUUUGGGGUUUUGUUGGGUUUUUUGUUUGGUUGGGUUUUUUUUAAGAAAAAACUAAUCAUAACCAGAUAUAACCAGAUGGGAGUAUUUAACUGACCAUCUGCAAGUGCAGCGGGUAACUGCAUUUUCAAGGGUAUAAAUCUUCCAAGAGAAGAAAUCAAAAUCAUUAUACUUCUGUAUUGCUGACAGAGUGAGCAUUGUUUGAGAACUGAUUGCAACAUGCACUUGAACAAUAGCUUUAGAUCAGCAGAAGCAUAAAAUAUUGCUGUGACAUGUUUCAAUUAAAACAAAAAUAAUUAACCACCCGUUAGUGUCAUGAAAAACAGAGGCUAUUAACAGUAAAUGCUCUUUAGCAAUUGUGUUAUCUCCACAAAGCUGUUUCCAGUGUUUUUUCUCCCCUAUUGAUAAUUUUUUCCACUGUGUAGCUAUCUGCCUCCUGGUUUACAUAUUCCUCCUCAGCUUCCUUUAUAUCUUGGUACUGUAGAAAACUGAUUAGUGGGGGAGACUGUAAUGAUACAAAGGCUCUUCACCUGGAGGCUGCCUGUUGUCAUAUUGUGCGUCAGUGUUGUUAUUAUAUGACAGCUAAUUUUGCUUCUGGAGAAUUGCUGCGCAGAUCAUGAAAAUACUGUCUUGCUGACUGCCGUGGGAAGCUUUGAUGGUAUUCUGGUAAAGAACACAGGGACUGAAGAAGUGCCUUGCACUUCUCACGUCUAGUAAUGGAUUUUCCGAGUUAGCGUUAGAGCACUGUCACUGACUCCAGAGUUUUUUAUACUAAGGAGAAACUGGAGUUGCUGAGAUCAUGGUUUUCCUAGUGCCUGUGUGAAGGAUCAAAGCCAUUAAUUUUUAAAUAAAAGUUUCUACUAUUGAAGGUAUUUAUUUCAUUACAAUAUUAAAAAAACCCCAACUUAUUUCUAAAUGUACCUGUGGCCCUAGUUCUCCAAAAGAUUCUCUGCAGAACAAUGUCAAAAAGCACCCAGUUACUCUUUUCAUACCUAGCUCAUGUCCUUUCAUAUCGAGAUCACUGAGACCCAAACUGUACACAUUUCUUUUGCAGUAGAAAAUGACAUCUUUCGAAAGAGUUAUUACCUUUUUAUAAAUGGACUCUUUUUCUAAGAACUGUAACUUUAAGUUAGAAUUCCAUCUGCUUUUAGGAGUCUAAAGACUCACACAGGGAUAACAGUUUAGAAUUCUACUGUUAUUUUCAACACAAUCCUUAUUUAACACAAUUCUUAUUCAACACAAUUCUUAUUCUUUACAGUAUCAUUGGACAUCCCAGCUGAUGUAUAUAUUAAGUGCUGUUGGUAGAAAUUUGUAUUCAGUAUAGUAGUAUUAAAUUUGUAUUUUCUCUUUUAACUUUUCAGAUGCUGGUAAUUGUUUGUGUAAUAGCAGGUUCCUUGUUCCUACUGUACAUGUAUGGCAAGAUGCCUGCUAUCAGCUGAGCUGUGAAAAUGAAAGUAUCAGAAUAUCUCUGUGUGUGAACUCUGCAAGAAACAAACACUACCCUCUGCUUAGAAAAAAAAAAAGGCACAAACCAGCAAAACCCAACACCCUUGCUGAAGAAAGCUUUGGUCUUCCAAAAUGAGUGUAAGGGAAAAGUCAGUAGUAGUAAAUUCUACCCUGUCAGAGAACUCUCACCCAAUUUAUUCUGUUUACAGAUUUGGUUUAAUAAUGAUUAUUUCUCACACCUCUUUGUAAAAUAUUCUGAGAUUCACUGAUAAAAAGUGCUAGAGAAUGAAAUAAUAUUCAACUAUUGUACAGUUACAGAUCAUAAUUUUAAUAGUUUUAUAGUUUGAUGAUAAUUUAUUAAUAUCUUGCUUAUGAUUACAACUAAGACUGUAUUUCUUCUUUUGAACCUAUGAAUAAAAUGUAUCACUCAUUUAACUACUUGCUCAGAUCCUCCCACAUCCAGUCAGUCCACCAUCACCCCUGUCACGACACCCAGAGAGCAUGUACAACUGUUCUGAAAAUGUACCCUCAGCAUAAUUUACAAAGAUUAAUCUACUAAUACAGAUGUUUAACUAUCUGUCAA